CCAUUGUUACACUCACUGCGCAGUAGGAUGAUAUAGGUAGAUACAAUAGAUAUAGAUGAUUCUAGGGUUUCUUACCCAGGGUGUGCUUGUUGUUGUGCAUCCAAACCUUGAGCACAUGACGUUUCACGCCCGUUUCGCUACAGAACUGCUGCACCACUGCCUCGUCAUGCUUCUGAAUCCUCCACCCCAAACUCUCUGCCAAACCGAACAUCUUAUCCUUUUGCUCCUGCGUGAACUUGGUCCUGAACCUCUUCUUUGAUGACCCAGCUCCGCUAGGGUUGGACACGUCCUCUUGGUCAUCCCGGCUAUGGGUUCCGCCUCCACCCGAUGUCGACGCAGAGCCAAUGGCCUAUGGUGAGCUGCGACGUGCAGUACCCCGCCGGCGUCCUAUAGUNNNNNNNNNNNNNNNNNNNNNNNNNNNNNNNNNNNNNNNNNNNNNNNNNNNNNNNNNNNNNNNNNNNNNNNNNNNNNNNNNNNNNNNNNNNNNNNNNNNNACCCCCCUCUUCCCCCCAAGUCCCCAAUCUGUUUGGUUGAAUGGGAGUUUUGGUGUGGCUUGGACACAUAGGAGCGAGGGAGAGAGGGAGAAGUUUUUGAAUGAGGUGGUGGAGGGGGAAUCAACAAGUUUCAUGCUUUUUAGCCUGAAAAGGAUAACUCCCCAGCUGUUAAUUAUCAGAUUUCUUUCUUAACAGCUAUAGCUAUACAAGUAGGUGGAGGUUGAGGACCAAAAUUUGAAGUUUUCAUGUCUUUUGUUCAGAGGGGAUACAGCUUUCUUGUUGCUGCUAUUUCAUAUUCAGGAAAAAAAAUCAAAAAAAAAAAAUGGGACUGAAAAACCCAAAAAAAAAAAAAAAAAAAAAAAAAUUUAAAGCAGUUAUUGUCCUGUUUAAAAUUCUAUUUCUUCUCCUGAAUUUAAAAAAAUAAUAAUAUAUAUUAUUGUAAAUUCCUUUGGGACAUAUUGACAACCAGGACAAAAAUAGAGUAAAUGUGUGAUUGUGGGGGUGGUGGUGAAUGGACGAUUAUAACCUCAAUGUACUUAAUUACGAGGAAACGAUAAAUGGUGGUACUCCCUUGUUCUGAGUUCUCAUUGAAGAGUCAUACUUCCAGUUCUCAGAAACAUGGGAAACGACGUCGUUUUAAGCUUGGGUUUCAAUGAUUGUAAUCGCCCCUGUGGUUGUCAUGGAGAUUUACUAUAAAAGGUGAAAGCGAGAGCCCGAGAGGAGAGGCCCAGUGGGCCACCAACCCCUUUGUUUUGACUGUGAGACUGGUCAACAUCUUUGUUUGGUCUGCACUCUAGGAAACCUUGGGAAUCCAGGGUGCUGCGUGCAGAUGUACACACUGGAUCACAAUGUUCACAUGACUCAGGAAUUGAACAUCACACGUGCUUUGCCCUGAUGGGCCCAUUCAUUUCCCCUGCAAUUCCCUGCUAAGACAUGUCUCCACUUUCACACAUUUCAUAUUUUCUUUUUAUAAUUAUAAAUAUAUUCCACACGUGCCGCAAAAAUAGAGACUCUACAAAAUAGUUUUUGUUGUCACCUUAAUGCUUUUCAUUUAUGAAACCUUUGGGUGAUAUUUCAAGAGGUUUGGUGAAGGGGUGGUUUGAUAAAAUUUAAUAUUUAUUAUUUAAUUUAAAUUGAUUUUUAAAUUAUAUUUAAAUCAUUAACUUAAAUUUUAUUAUUUAGUUUUUAUUUUAAGUAUUAAUAUUAUUCAAUAAAAUUAACUUUAAAUUUAUUUUAGAUUGUCAAUUCGUAUUUUUCCUCAUAAAUAAAAAAUGAUUAAGUGAUUUUAUAUUUCUAAUAAAAAAAUACCCAUAAUUUUAUUAAAUCAUAAUAUCUAAACACAUAUAAUAAUUAUAAGAUUUUGCAUUUGCCUAAAUGGGUGGUGGUGGAUACAAGAAAUUCCCACACCCACACUUCAUUUAACAUUUUUAUUUUUAUUUUUCAUUUUUUUACUCAUGGUAUUAAAAUAUAUAUAAAUUAAUGAAUAUUAUAAAUAUUUAUAAUAUUUAUAAUUUUUUAUUUAAUAUAUAAAAUCAGGGUGAGGUGGGGCUCAAACCCGUCUCAGGUUUUAGUUUUUUUUUAGUAUUUGAUUCACCAUUAAAAAAUAAAUAAUAAAUAAAAUAUAAUAUAAAUGUAUUAGAAAUUUGUAUAUUUUAAAAUUAUUUAAUUUUUACAUAAAAAAGAAAAAAAUAAAAUGAAUUUGAAAAAAUAUGUAAAAAUAAUUUAUUAUUUUUCAUUUUCUAUCCUUAACAUUUUUUCUUUAAAACUUUCAAGAAACCAAUAUAAGUAAAAGAUUUUGUAUUUCAAAUGCAAAAUAUUUAUACAUUUGAUUACAUUUAUAGAACCUCACAAAUUCACUUAAAUAUAUAUUUUUCAUAUCCUCACUUAAUUGAAGUGAUGUAAAACACUCCUUCCACUAAUACAUUAUAAGACAAUAACCCAAACUUUUAUAUUUUGUCCAAGAAAUAUUGAUUCAUGGAGCUCAAUCCCACCAUCAUGACUCAUGAGUUGAGAAAAUGUAUGUAUAGCCAAAAACGGACCAUACCUAAAACUAGAUCAAAUUCUAAUUGCUCAAAUCGAUCAUGUAGUAGUAAAAUCAGCUAAGCCUUAUUUGGCUACUCUAAGAACAUAUACAUUAAUUACAUUAAUAUAUAAAAAAUCAAAAUCCGGUGAUAUAACCCACGAUUUUUCAAAAGUGGAAUAAAUGUUAGAAGUGAGUUUAACCGAUUCCAAGGUCUUUUAUUACAUUCUUAUUUUCUUUAUUUUAAUUUAUUGUUUUAUUAAAACUAUAUUUUCUUUUCACAUUAUAUUUAUUAAUAAAGUGGUUUUUUUUAAAAAAAAUAUAUGUUUUGUCUCGAUCCUCAUAAUUUUAAUCAUUUUUUAAAUAAUAGGUGAUGAUUGAAUAAAGGAAAAAAAAUUCUCAUUAUUAUAAAUCAAAAGGAACGUAUGAUGAAAAGGAGGAAGGGUUUCUUUGUGAGUGGCAUGUUCAUGCUUGUUCCCAUUGCGGACAAAGCUGGAAGCUCCACACCACACAUUAUGCAAACUAUGUGCGAAUCAUUAGCAACAAGACAACGUUUUAUCAUCACUCAGCCUCCCUUUCUGUCAAACUAGAAAUCGAUCGAACGAGUCAUUCAUGUUUCAGCUUAUUACUCCAUUGAACAACUUGAUUCCAGCCAUUGAGGGUAAUUGAACUAAAAAUUUGGAAUCCCUGUGGGACAACCCAAGAGCAUGGAUUAUUGCUGCAUUGAAGACUUGAACUUCUUCCUUGCUUACUUCUUUCUCUGCCACAAAAAUUGGAACUGUAAGUUUAGGACUCAAAUUUGAGUAAAAUCUCUCACACCCACAAGUUGAUUUAUAUUAGUGAGAAAUUUUACCACCAGAAAGAUAUGAAAUCUAGGGCUUUAUGAAAUCAUCUUUCACAUGUGUGGCUGCAGGACAGGAGAAGAGGGGUUUAGGUUCAGAAUCCAGUCAUUAUGGCCUCAAAAGAAAUGAAAAGGAAACUACAACCCAAACAAGCCAGAAAGUCGCCAUUUUCAGAAUCACUCUCUCCUCUCUCAUAUGCUGGAUAAAAGUUUUAUAUACAAAGCAAAUAUAGGAGUAGGACAUAACUGUGGCUUUAGGAUGGUCGCAGCCUGCACUCACUAACAUGGGGAAGGCAAGUAAUAGAAUAUGUCGCCUUUGACUGACUAGUAACAGCUAAGCAUGGUCAAUUUGGUUAUUAAAUUUAUUACUCUCUGUGGCUGACUGUACAGUUAAGGAAUAAGCAUCCCGAUUACAGAGAUAUAUAUAUGCAUGGCAUAUGAGAUAGACCAAGAGAGGACUGUCUUCAAACUGUAAAAAGCCUAUUCUCUUCUAUCAAAAUAAUUAAAAUUUCUGGGGCCUAAGGUCAGUUUGAACUUUGAAUGCCAAAUUUUGUAACUAUUAUUCGAAUUAGUUUUUAUAUACAUUUAUAGUUUUCAGUCCAUGUCUAUAAUAUUUAUAUCCGUGGGGACCCUAAGCUAAAGUCACUGCAAAACUGGCCUAGGUUUGGUGGGGACUUAACAGCUCUGAGGGCAUGUAGAACAACCACAAAUGAAGUGCUCUCUCUCUUACUGGUACGCAGAGACACCUGGGGUUUUUUUUUAACCGAGAAAUUGAAUGUUGACGGGACGAGAAAUUGUUAUGAGCAGUGCCACCAGAGAGGUACACAGGACCCAAGAAGGGAACCUUUUCUGAGUGGGUGGUGGUGGUGACUGGUGAAUGACUAAGAAAAUGGAAGAUGGGUAAAAGGGAUUGGUCAGAACACUCAACACAGAAGUGUAGCAGAGCCGAAUUUUUUUGUCUAUUCCCUUGGAUGUUACUAAGACCAGCAGUUACUCUGGUAUUAAGAUUAGCAUUAAUGGUAGAAAAAUGAAGGUUGUCUCCAACUGGGAACAGGUAGUGGCACCCAGCACAUCCCAUCUCAAUGAAAUUACAGCAACAACCGGAACAGUGUAAAAAAACUUGAAGGGGAAAAGAGAAGUUCUGAAUUAGUCAGGCCACAUCAUAUUCUCCAGAGAAUAGGUCCAGUAAUACCCCUGUUCCUAAUGGUAUACUCUCUUCCCUUCUCCUUACGUGCAGGAUACCUCCUGCCAUCCACUCACAGCAAACACUGAAACCCCUUUCACCAUUAUGGGACUAGACUCAAAUCGCAUCUACAUGGGUGGCUAGCUUUAUUUUGUACCCAGCUAACAGAAGCUUGCAACUAUAAAGGAGAGUUGGUACAUGCUUUUGAUAAGAGUUAAAACUGACAAGAUCCGAAUUUAAGGACUGAUUUAUGGAUCAUGGUGUUAUUCUAGUUUAGGGGUACAUCAUAUAUGAAGAAGGAUUAGGGUAUGCCCUGCUGCAGGCUGAACAGUGGAUCAUUGCUGCCAUUCAAUGGAGAUCACUGCCGACAAAAAGGACAUUAUUGCAAAAUGCACUCAAUCAGCAUUUUGAUUGCUAAUUUAGUUGAAUUUGUAUAGCUCCUUGUUGAAUUUCAAUACUGUAUCAGGGACUAAGCCAGACUUCAUUAAUGGUGCUUCCCACAACUGCUCGUGUUCCAUGGUUCCUGACACCCGCCUAAAGGAUUAGUUUUCUUCGAGCAGUUAUUGUUAAAUUUCAGAAGCAAUCCUGUAGUGCCUAAUCAAAAUGGACAUAAGCAUCUAUUCCAUGAUUUGCAGCUCAAUUUCUCCAUAUAAAGCCAUUAAGGUUUGUGUUUUUCAUUGUCUCUAAAUCCACCAAAUACGUUUCCCCUUGAAUACAAACAUGAUAAAUAAAACAUUAAAAACCAAGCAACAAACUGCUUGCAUGCUUUCUAAGGACUUAUUAUUGAGGCGCCUACUGAGAACUGGCAUAAUAAUGCUAUACACUUAAAAAAAAUUGUUCAAAUUUGUAGGGAACAUAAUCCCUUGUAUUAUUUCUACCAUAGAAUGAGGUAAGCUGACUAUCCAGCUACCAUUCCAAACAGGCUUUCUGCUUUCUAGUUUACCCUUUAUGAGCAAAGGUUUCUCGAGUCUCUAUUGUAGAUGACAAAGCUCGCUGAUCAAACAAAAUCAGGCUGGCCUGUUGAAGUCAAGCAACGAUGCCACAUGCGGCUGUUAGGGUCCACAACUCUGGGGUAAGAAACGACUUCAGGAAUGGGAAGGUAGACAUAGUGAGUGUUGCAUAUACCCACUGUAAUUCCACUAUAUCCAGCAAAAGCACCAUGAACCUGUCAAAACCAUGCAUCUACUCUGUUAACAAAAUAACUUCGCAUAAAUGGUUCAAACAUCAAAACAUAAGAAGAAAAGUUGCAAUUUGAGCAAGCAGAAAACCUGGUUCAGUGAAGGGAUACUUGAAGACUACAUCUCCAUUCAUGCCAAGGAUGUAAUGAAGUAAUUCUAACCAUUCAGGCCCUGUAUUAGAUUGCCAGAGCCUCACUUGAAUUUUGGCCAAGCCCAAAGUUUAUUAAGUUUGACUGGUGGUAUUUUAGACUACUAUAUUUAAAUUUAAAAGAGCUUAAUUCUGCAUAGGUGGACAGAAUGUUCUACAAUGCCCUGCAUAAUCUACAAAAGCAUGGUUUGGGUCCAGAACAUUCUAGAGUUUGCUAACAUAGAAUUAGAAUAUUCUAGAACUAAUGGAAAAGAAAAGACAUGAAUGUAUCCUUAUAGAGAGUAGUCUAAAGAAUCUAGUCUAAAAUGCCAAAAAGGAGCUUAUAAAUGGGUCAUGACCUCACAUUCAAUAUCUUGCAAGCUCUUCUGGGUGCUCUAAAACGUUCAGUGUGGGACAUGAUAAAGCUCAAAGGUUUGCCAUUCACUCCAUCUAGACUUCAUUAACUACCAAAGCACUUGAUGAGCCAAACAAUUUUAAACCUUCUAAUGCAUCUGAUGUACGAAAUCACAUCCAUGAGCAUAAGUUUUACUUGCUAAUGAUAAUUAUGUUACUAAUAAUAGUGGGAAAAUGCAAGAAUGAGAAACUCACAGCAUUUUGUCCUAGUACAGUGCAUAGAAUUCCGUCUGAUGCAUUUGCACGGCAUGCACGAAUCAUGUACGUUGGAUCUAUAUACUUGACAUCAGCUGGAUUGCCAGUUGCUUUAAAAUAUUUCUUUGUCUGGUACAUAAUGAUUGAAUAAAUAUCAGUAUCAUUUCAAUAGUUUCUUGUAGAAAAACAUUAAGAGUGUGUUUGGUAGUGAUUCUAAAAAGUGCUUUUAGUCUUUCUAACACUUGAAAAUUUUUAUCUUUCAAGUAUUAGAAAGACUAAAAACACUUCUUAGAAUCACUGUCAAAUGCACUCUUUGAUUCAGAAGCCAAGAUAAAUUACAAUCCCAAACCUCUUGUUGAAUAUGUACACCAAUAUCUCCAAAUACAAUAUUUCCAGAUGCAUCUGUAGCAUUAGUUUUCUCAAGAAAAUUCUGCAUUGAAAGUAAUAAAAUAAUUUUUUUGUUAGUUUUGUCGGCAUCAAAAUAACAUAAUCUCAACAUAGCACAAAAAAUGAGUAGUUUUCAGUGUGUAACAUGACAUAGCAUCAUACAUAUGAAAAAUCUUACAAAUAAGAUGAUUGUUUUCCAGAAUGAAGCAAAUUACAAGUGUUAGAAAAAACAAUAUAAAUCCUCUAAUCAAUUAACAACCAGAAUAUUUUAAACAGCAAACCACAUGUCAUCAUUAUGUUUUGGAGGACUUUCCAAUUCAAGGAGUAGACAAAACAUAAUGUUUGACUUAUUUCAUCGGAAGAUCUUGUUUGCCUUUUCAUUUCAAUAGAUGAAGGCUUUUUAUGUUGAGAGAUUGUGAAUUCCUGGUUAAAUGAUAAAAACCAUGAGAGCUAUUUUGGAAGGAAUUAAGCAGCAAUUUUGUCCAGUGGAACAGUGAAAUAUGGAUUAAGAAAAUCAUUAAAGGCUAAAAAUUCCACCCUGGAUGAGACUACAUUUCAAAAUGAAUCUUCACCUUUGGAAUUAAAACUAAAAAUUAAAGCAUAAAGGCAGUGAAUGCUUUGCUGAUUAUAACAAACUGAAUCUAAAUUGACCAAAACACAAAAAGACACGAUAAGAAAUGGGAAUUAGAUGAGGAACUAUGAAAGCAAAAAUUCUAAGUCUGCCUUGAUAGCAAAGCCAACUAUCAGAGCCAAUGCAAGGAUAAGUGUGAUUCUGUAGCUCAAAAACUUUGAGAAUUGAGAUAACUAAAGUUAUAGCCAUGUAAAAGCCUGGCCAUUUCAUCGUAGCAAGUGAAAAUUUUCAAAGUACUCAACAUGGUUGGCCAUCAAACCCAGGAAACAGCAAAUUUAUUGUUCUGAUUGUUCAGAAAUUACCAAAAAGCGUUAAAAAUAAGAACUAAAGCAAUCCAUAUAUAGAAAGGGUUUUGUUCUUUUUUAAUUCUUGGACUAGAGGUGCAAUAACACACGCUUGCCAUUACAAUUGAAGCUCAAGCAGAGAAGUGAUGAAAGGGUUGGGGUUGGGGUAGUUCUAAGGUGUGAAUCUCCUAAUGUCUUCAUUUAUUUGUUGAAAAAACCAUUAAGAACAUGCAUAGGAGUAAUGUCAGAUUACUAAAAUGGGAGAAAAGGUGUAGCAUGCAUAAGUUUCCCACUACCCAUUGAACCGGAGAAGGGAGCUGAUUGAUGGUUCAACUAUCUCAUUUGGUGAUGUCAAAGAUAUACUAUUUACUAUAUAAUUAUCUAGCAUAGUCAAAUGAAAGCAGCUAGAAUAGAAUAAACUAAGAAAAAUUUGGUGUUCGUUUGGAUUCACUUCUUGUUUUUUGUUUUAAAAUAGAAAAUAAUAGUAACUUUUAUAUAAAAUAUAAGGACUUUUAGAGGGCUUGUAUUAAAAAGGUAAUGGUUUUUAAAAGCCGAUUAAAAAAAUGGAGGCAUUAUAAAAAUUUUAUUACCUCAAAUUUUAAAAUUUCAGAAAGUAAUUUCUAAGGACAAGGUAAAUCUAUAUUUUUUUGUACAAAAGUUUCUAUCUUUUAUAUAGAGUUUUCGGGCAUUGAAUCUCUGGCCUUAGCCUGCCUGCCAGUCUUUAUAUCUUGAAAGAACAAAGGGAAGCACUCAGAAACUAUUCCAGCAUGCCAUUUGAAGAAAUUCUUCCCUCAGUUGCUCUCAGCAAUCUGAACAAUCUCUACUCUGGCUCAGCACUCCCCUGAUUUACAUGAAAGAAUCAUCCUCAUAAAACUAGCAUCCCGAAUGGUGGAGCUCAAGGAAAGCACCAUGAGAGAAAGAACAAUGAUCCAUUCUGCCAAAGCCUCUCAGUCUACUGCUUCUUAAAACACUUCUAACUCUGAGAUCAGUCACAUGUACAAAGGUAGCAGCUACGACUUCUUCCUUCUGGGCUUCCUUGCCAAGUCCAAUAGCAACAGAUUCUGUACCAGCAAACCAUAUUCAAAUGGGUGUUCCCUCUUCAUUCUAGCUUUCUAAAUAAGUCAGAUCAGUGCCUUGCCAAAGCCUCUCAGUCCACUGCUUCUUAAAACACUUCUAACUCUGAGAUCAGUCGCAUGUACAAAGGUAGCAGCUACGACUUCUUCUUUCUGGGCUAACUUGCCAAGUCCAAUAGCAACGGAUUCUGUACCAGCAAACCAUAUUCAACCGGGUGUUCCCUCUUCAUUCUAGCUUUCUAAAUAAGUCAGAUCGGUGCCUUGAGCUGGGAAAAACUCCUAAAUGAGUAAAUCCAGAAGUUCCUGCCUUGCCCACCUGAGUCGAAUAGUAACUUCCAUAUAAAAUAUAAGGACUUUUAGAGGGCUUGUAUUAAAAAGGUAAUGGUUUUUAAAAACUGAUUAAAAAAAUGGAGGCAUUAAAAAAAAUUUAUUACCUCAAAUUUUAAAAUUUCUGAAAGUAAUUUCUAAGGACAAGGUAAAUCUAUAUUUUUUUGUACAAAAGUAUCUAUCUUUUAUAUAGAGAUUUUAUUUUUAAAAACAAAAAACAGAAAGUGUAUACAAAUGAAAUCUUAGUUUAACCGUUUAUAGGUAAAAUGGUUUUUUAAAAACAAUUGCUUGUCUAACAGCUUGUCAAACAUGCACCCAUGGUUCUCACAGUGCAACCAAUCAGUCUGUCCCACUGAAGGUAAAAAUAGAAAAUAGCAGUUUUGCAACUGAGAAACUCAUAAAAUCCUACAAGCUAUCAUGCAACUCCUCUUGCAUUAAAAAUUCACAUGUAUGGGCUUCUCUUAUAUUUCCUUCCAUAAACCACUGCAGGUAUGAGGUAUCCCAUUUCUUUCCUUCCAUAAACCACCUCUGGUAUCCCAUUUCCUUUGAGCAAGAUAUUUACUUGCAUCUGCUUUUGUCUCAAUUAAAAUUUAAUACCCAUUGCCAUAGGAAGCGAUAUUAAAAGAAUAUAGUAUCGUACAAGAGUAUGAGUUGCCUUGGGUUUGAGAUUUGAGAUAGCCAGCUGACCUCAAGUUGAGCUAGUCACUCAAACAAUCGGUAUNNNNNNNNNNNNNNNNNNNNNNNNNNNNNNNNNNNNNNNNNNNNNNNNNNNNNNNNNNNNNNNNNNNNNNNNNNNNNNNNNNNNNNNNNNNNNNNNNNNNACAUAUAUCAAUUUGUCCACUAGCUAGGGAUGCUUGCAUGGUUAUAAAUCCACUGCUACGUCCCAUCAAUUUCACAAUACCAAUUCCACGAUAAGCACUAUGCGCCUGUUAAUAAAAAUUCAUUUUAACACAAAGGUAUUGAUACUAAGAAAAUCAGGGCAUGGACAGCUUCAAUGUGAAUUGAAAAUUGUGAAACAAAGCAGAACUAAAACCUAGAGGCUACAAUCAAUUUGUACCUCUAUGUAUGCUGAAUUAAUUGCUCUUUGUGAUUCUUCAACAGCAGUAUCAAAACCAAAAGUUUUAUCCAUAUGUAGAAUAUCGUUGUCUAUGGUUUUUGGAACACCGACUAUUGCCACCUUCAUACGUCGUUUACGGCACUGCAAGCCAAAGAAAAGAACAUGUAAUUAGACUUCCCAGGAAAUGAAAGGCGAUUCCUAGAAGGAAUUAGAGCAAGCAUUAAAAAAAUCAUAAUGAUAGGAAGAAAGUUGCAAAAGUGGAGCUCUGAUAAGCUUCCUGCUGACAAAUAUGCAUAAGGUAGCAGUAUAUCAAUAUCACUUGAUACUAGAGAAAUGAAAAGUACAUUUAAACAGCAGGAAUGCAAAUCAUGUUUGCUAACAAGUGGAAUAGUGUGUUGAAACGCAUGUGAUAUAAGGAUUUGAGUGAUAACUAUUCUACUUGAACAAAUUGCUUUAUUCCAGGUUCCUCAAGUACAAAAACAAAAUAUUUAUAGAUAUUGACAUUUAAAUGAGAUUACAAAAAUGUGCAACAGCUGAGUAUAAGAAUCAGGCUUGACUACCUCAUUGUGUAUUGCAUUGGCACCAGCAUGAGUACCAUUUCCACCCAACACAAAAAGCAUGUUGAUUCCUCUUUUCUAACAGCAAAAUGAAAAUACAUAUAUCAGAACACUUGAUGCCUGGCAUCAUUAUGUAAUUCUACAUCAGCAAUUUCCUCAAGCAAACAAAGAAAUGUCUAACAAUAGGAAACAAUAAAUUGAGCACCUCCAUACUAUCAACAAUUUCAGCAACACUAGGUCCCCCACGUGAAACUCCUAGCAAACUUCCGCCAGAAAGAUGAAUAUUUUGAACCACUUUCCUGGACAGCUGAUAAUCAGAGCCACAUCCAAACAAAUUAAUUGAAUAUUCCUAAAUAUUCUCAAAAAAGAUUAAAUGUAUGCAUAUCUUGAAACUGUUUAAACAGAACCGCAAGAACAGAACCCACUUACAGGCAUUUCAGCUAUUUCUUCAGAAAAUCCACGAUAGCCAAAAGGAAUUCCCACAAUGUUUUUUACACCAUAUAUUUCAAGUGUAAUAACAAUCUGCAGAAGAUGCACACUUAAUCUCUGAAAGACUUAAUACAAGCAUUAAAGAAAAUCAAUUUUAGACAAUGUUGUACGCAUAUUAGCAUAACUAUUUUUUGCCAGAAUAAAAAGUGGAACGUGAGUAUAAACAAUCCUGUCUAAACUUAGCACAAUAAUACAACAUCCAGAAAGCUAUAAGCAAUCAACAUUCAUUAAUAGCCUCCAAAAGGCAAUGCCGGUUCAAGCUAAACCCUGAGGAUAAAACAGACCCAAAUUUGGAAACUACAAGUGCAUGAGGGUUGAUUAUGUAGACCUGUGUGCUAACAUUAAAAUUAGGUUUGUAAUUAAGUAUACAACAGUUCAACUUUUAAACUGGUAACCAGGCAGUCUAAAAGACCAUAGCCUAUGCAGUUUCUUACCUACCUGGCUUAUCCCCCUGAAAACAGUCUAAAUAUUAAUCCAUAUUUUUCCCACCACACCAGUAUAUUAUCUACUACUAACCCAUGUUUCUACUUCCAGUUGUUUGGAUCCUAAUGAGCUUGCAAAAACUAUGGUAUUUGAUAAGUGGUCAAUUUUUGAAGGCAUGAUAAGUUAAACCAUACAUAGACAUUAUGAUACAGAAUAUGAACUGCCUGUUCAUAGCAAAUUCAAGAAAGCAUAUAGAUAUAAGUAUUCUAACGAAAUUAAGCACAAUAUUAAUUUUUUUUUUCUCCGAUUUUUAACUUCAAAGAACAGCUGUCUGUUACAAAACAAAAGCAAAUCUAUAAAAUCCGAAGAAUGCAUUUCCCCCAUGAGUCAAAUGGUGCUAUAGUGUCUGCAACAUCAGGGGUUGUAAGAUAUGGCUAAUUUCAUCAGAAAAAGACUGAGCAGGAUAGUGGUGGACAUGCUAACUACCUGUCUGAUAACAUCAUUAAGACCAGGGCAGAGCCCUCCGCAAGUUACAAUUGCUGCAUUUACUGUUUCAGGUUUGAAGUAUAUUUUUUCCCGAGGCCCAGCACGGUGAACCCUGGAAAGGUUUCAUCAUAUCAAUCAAAUACCAAAUAAACCUUUAGAUAAAAUAUAAUAUCAUAUCAAAUGCAAACAUUAAAAGUAAAACAAUGACUAGAUUAUGUUGAUAGAUAACUAAGAUCAAAAGCAGCAUUUUGUUGAUUUUCUGGACCAUGAAAGAUAGAAUGAAAACAAUAACAUAAAAGAAGUUGGGUGCAACCGAUUUUACUUUUCCUCUCAUCCUUUUUCAAUGAAAAAAACUUCACAAGUGACAAGUGAAACAUCUUAUUUUUUGAGAAAUCUGGCUCAAUGUUAUUUGGCUACCAGCCGUCUCUAUAAACAUCAAAAUCAGGCAACAAUAUUUCAUAAUUACAUUAAAUGAUAAGUCAUGAAGAGUGAUCUUUCAUGAAUCAUGUUUCUUAUGCACUCAUACAGGAUCACACCAGAAGUUAAGUAGCAAUCUAUCACAACCUCAUUAAUUUAGCCCCAUGUCUUCAAAAGAAGUAAGAUAAUAUAUUUGAAUGCCUUUUUUUUUGUUCUCAAGGGAUCCUGGGUCCAUCCUCCAGUAAUUAUUCUUUUUUCCUUUUUUGGCUGGUUUCUUGGUAGAAAAAUCAUCUUUUUUGAUUCCCAUUAUAUGCAUCAUAAAACAUUUUAGAUCAAAAGAUUCUUCCAUUUAUUUUUACAUAUGCAUGCUUUCUCAAUUCACAGAUGCCUACACGAAGUUGAGUGACAUAUUUACCAUUGCUCCACCCAAGUACAAUCAGGAUCAAUGCACUCAGCACCAGCGGAUGUAGGGGAGGAGUAGUAUAUGACCUGAAAUAUCAGAAAAUAUUUAAUACAAAAGUGAACAGUAUUGUAACUAGAAAAGAGUGAUUUGUAAAAAUGGAAAUCAAUUCCUGGCAUGAUAAAUGGAGAUAAUCAUGCUGCCUGGAAACCUCCAUCUAAUACCAUCAAGGAUUGGGAAAAGUUUGGACAUAUAACAAAUAAGUGCCAAAUCACUCACAUAAUCACAUUUGUUCCCACACUGAUUUCAUUUGCAUUGACACCAGAGUGAGUCUAAAAGUUUGCAUUCUGCCUAUUUUUCAUCCUUUCUCCUUUAAUUUGGGUUGACACUACAAGGAAAUCUAGUCUAAAAUGUUUGGAAUACCACAACUAUGGUUUAUUUAUUUCAGUAGCAUUAUUUUAUCAAAUUAAUUGAUGAUCAGUCUAAAAUUAAUGGUCCACACCUAAUAACCAGUGCACACAAGUAUAUGCAUCUAAAUAAUUGUUGACCCACUAGAUUUUACAGUUUUAUCUAAACGGGGAUGCUAGUAAAUAGGACAAUAUGUAGAGCAUCAAAACAUUAAGGCUAAAGUGUAGUCAGUGCACGCUAGUAGCAAGAUGUAGAGAGUUUUUUAUUUAAUGGUGCGGGGUUUUUUUUCUUCUAGGGAGUCCUUAAGGCUUCAUUUGGAUCCUGGAAAGUUAGAAGGAAAGUCCAAGGGAAAAGGAUAGAGAAGAAAAAUGGAAAGAAAGAAAAAGGUUUAAGCUCAAUAAAUUUUUCUCACGUGCUUUUCUAAUUUAUUCUUUCUUUCUUAUUCUAUAUGACAAAUAAAGAAUUUGAAAGCAUACAAAUUUUUAAAUAAUUUUAUUAUCUUCUAUUUUUUUCUUAGUAUUUUCCACAAUAAACAAAACAAGAGGAAUUGAAAUUCCUUCCUACCUUUUUUUCCUUCCUUUAGUACUUUCUUGUGCUCUAAAUGGAGCCUUUCAUAAAGCCUAUAAACAAGCCUCUUGGUGGAAACACUCAUUAAUGCCUAGAUAUGUAUUUAAAAAGAGUGAAAUCAAACCACCACCCAAAGGAAAUAGGCAGGCAAGCAAUGCAUGGUUUAAAUUACUUGCAUUCCAAUAAUUGAUGACCAGUAUGUGUUUUGCAAUUUCAGUCAUCAAACUAAGAUUAAGAAACCUAAACAGAUGAAAAAUUUACUAGGCAAUAUACCUUAAGAAGUACUCUGUCACUAUUGUUAAUGUAUCCAUGCCACUUCUCAUCAGAUGGAUAACCAUCUGCAAAAUCUUCAUUUACAGGAGUCCUGUACACAAUAAAAAGAAACCAUGAACCAAGCAUUAUACCAGAGCCAAAGAGCUACUAUGCAAAUUCAACUUGCUCUAACAUAAAAUCACAAGAUGCUAAAAUCGGANNNNNNNNNNNNNNNNNNNNNNNNNNNNNNNNNNNNNNNNNNNNNNNNNNNNNNNNNNNNNNNNNNNNNNNNNNNNNNNNNNNNNNNNNNNNNNNNNNNNNNNNNNNNNNNNNNNNNNNNNNNNNNNNNNNNNNNNNNNNNNNNNNNNNNNNNNNNNNNNNNNNNNNNNNNNNNNNNNNNNNNNNNNNNNNNNNNNNNNNNNNNNNNNNNNNNNNNNNNNNNNNNNNNNNNNNNNNNNNNNNNNNNNNNNNNNNNNNNNNNNNNNNNNNNNNNNNNNNNNNNNNNNNNNNNNNNNNNNNNNNNNNNNNNNNNNNNNNNNNNNNNNNNNNNNNNNNNNNNNNNNNNNNNNNNNNNNNNNNNNNNNNNNNNNNNNNNNNNNNNNNNNNNNNNNNNNNNNNNNNNNNNNNNNNNNNNNNNNNNNNNNNNNNNNNNNNNNNNNNNNNNNNNNNNNNNNNNNNNNNNNNNNNNNNNNNNNNNNNNNNNNNNNNNNNNNNNNNNNNNNNNNNNNNNNNNNNNNNNNNNNNNNNNNNNNNNNNNNNNNNNNNNNNNNAUCUUAUUUAAUAGUGAGAUUAAGUUUGAUUUUAUUUGAAUUAAUAUGAUUAACCCAUACAUUUAUGAUUCAAUUAACUUAUUUAUUCAAAUUUUGAAUAAGUGAAUUAUGAAUCAAAUAGACUAUGGUUAUAAUCAAGCUAAUUGCAUCAAUAUUAAAUAAGUCUAUAGCCAUAAAAAAAAUAGCAAAUUAAAUUAUCUCUAAAAUGGUCUUCAAAAUUAUGGUCUCUCAAUUCAAUAAAAUUUGGGUUUGACAAAUGAUGGGUCAUACGUAUUUUACUCGUUACACAUAUUCAAAAAGUGACAUAUAACAAAAUUAACUAUAUUUUGAAGGCUAUAAAAUUUACUAUUACAAAUAAAAUCAAAUUUUCCUAUUGCAGUCAUAAGAGAAUUAAAAUAAUUAAAUAUUUUUUAUAAACUUUCAAAGGAAACUCAUCUUCCUGUUGAAGUCAAGAGAAAAUUUAAAAUAAAUAUUAUUUUCUUAAUGAAUGAGACAAGUUACCAAUAUCAAAUAACCAAGUUUUUUUAAUUAAACAACUUACUUUUAGUGAUUUCAAAUUUAAUUUUCUAAUUUCACAUAUAAAAUAAUGGUGACUUCAUUCAAUGAAAAAUCAUUUGAAUAUAAAAACGACUUUACAAGGGAAAGAGGCAAAAUCAACUAACAAAUUUAAGAAAUCAUAAAAGACCUACACAAGUGUUUAACCGACCCUCAAUUGAACAUCUUCGUUGUCAUAAGUUACCAUCGCAUUGCAAGACUUCACAAAAUUUGUGAAAACAAAUUCAAUUUAGAUAAAAUUCAUAUUAUACAAAUAGACUAAAAAACAAUUUGUUUAUUAAAUGAAUCACAUAGAUCAUUAAAAAUUUCAUCAAAUGAGAGAAUAAGUUAGAUCAUCACUUGUUUUGUGAUAAUAAAUGAGAUAUAUUAUAUAAAUUUUUAUAUAUAUAUUAAUUCCAAAUUGAGAUAUGAGAUAUAUAUAUCCUCUAUAUCAUAAAUUUAUUAUUUUUUAAAAAUUCUUAUAUUAUUUAUAAAUUUUAUAGUGAAUGAUAUAGUGUUACAUUUUUUAUUUAUAAAUUUUAAAUAUUUCAAUUGUGAAUAUUAUUAGCAAAUAAAAAAAAAAUUAUUUUAUAAAUUUUAAAUUGUUGAAUAAUUUCCAAGAUUUUAUAUUGCUAUUUAAACCGCAUCAAUGUUGUAACGCACCCAACUAUGUAGAUAUUGUCCGCUUUGGGCUAAGGGGGCCCUCACGGCUUUAAAACGCGUCUACUUGGUUAAGAAGAGUCUCUACAUAUAUAACGUCAGGAACUUUCUCCCAUAUCCGAUGUGGGACAUCACAAACACCCCCCAUGCAGCCAACUAUGUAGAUAUUAUCCGCUUUGGGCUCAAGGGGGCCCUCACGGCUUUAAAACGCGUCUACCUGGUUAAGAAGAGUCUCUACAUAUAUAGCGCCAGGAACUUUCUCCCCUAUCCGAUGUGAGACAUCACAAAUGUUGUAUUCAGGGACUUCAUUAGGAUCAAACUAGCGAGAUGGAGUUAGGUGUAGAAAACUGAAUUUGAGGUGGUAGUUAUGGAAACAAGCAGGCCGCCCCAUGGGCCAUGGCAAGUCCAGGCUCUCCAGGGUAGGUGGCUGACCUGUCUGUUCAAAAUCUUCACCAACUCGUGGAAUCAUAAAGCGGAGUUUCGCUUCUUAGCUAUAAAGCCAUGUGAUGUGCCUGAUGGGGAAAGACUCUCACCAUCUGUUUGGCUACCAAUAUUUAAAUAGAACAAUCCGAGUGCUACUGGCUUUGCGGAUCUGUAUUUAUGUCGCCAAUAUUCGCAAUACACCAACCACAUCACGUGAGUCUCAUGUCUUCAUAUUUCUAUACCAUGGUUAUCCCCGUCUCGGGUUGUAAAUUAUUUCGGGGAAAAAUAUGUUUUCAUACCUUACAUUAAAAAAUUAUAAAAUAUAAAUUUUAAAUAAUUAUUUACAAAUAAUUAACAUUUUGUAUAUAUAUAUAUAUUUUUAUCAAAUGUAAUAUCUUGGUUGUCGAUUUUUUUUCUCACUUGGGCUCGUCCUAAACGGACGGACCUUGUUGAAUAUAAGGUUAUAUUAUUUACGUAUUGAGAAGUGUCUCGUCCAUAGAGGGUCUUCUGGGCUUUUCAUGAACCAUGACUCUUUUGGGCUGAGCAAGGCUGCGCCGGUCACUACUUGAGAUUGGGCUGAGCUACCAGUCUACUGAGGUAUGGAAAAUAUAAGAAUAAAAGAAGUAGGUGCUCCUUCAACAUUAUUCGAGUAGGGUAAGUGUCCAUGGCCGCACACAUCACACAUGUGGGUAUGUACCCCCUAUAUGGAUUGUGCUUUAAGGGCAACCAAAACCCCUUUAUUCCUUCCAAGUAAAGCACUGCAUAAUCAAGGAAAAUCCUCUCCUUUCUUCAACUUACUCUCUUUCACUUAAAAUUCAAUUUCCUCUACAGAUAUUUGGCGCCUAAAUUCGAAUGAACUAACUAAAAUAACGUCCCUAACGGUCAUUCCCUCUCUAAGCACCCAACUUAUGUCCACUUCCUUCCAACUGUACCAUAUGUCCCACCCCUCAGGUCCAAAUCAUUCUACUAGGAUUUAAAAAGGUUAUUGAAGAUGGACACACCACCACAAGUGGAAACAUACACUACAAGAUGGGGCUGCAGUGCCUUGACUCCAAUACUGAUUUACUAGGUUUAAUGAUCAGUUUCUGGUUGCCACAACUUCUAUUCUUCCAAUUUUCAUCAUCAAACUUCAGUGAUCAUCUUACAUUUUUGGUUUUGCAGAUAUGUCUGUCUCUCCAUUGAAGGAGUCUCGGAGUAGAUAUUUUUAUGGCAGUUCCUGGCAUAACCCUAUGGUGAGUAUGCAUCAUUUUCAUUGUGAUUUCACUUAAUAGAUGAUAAUUGAUUACAGACAUUGUGGUGGUAUGGUAUUGUUAUGAGACAGAUUGGUUCCAGUGAAAGCAGCCUGAUGAGGGACGCUAUCAUGUCGGUGGAGGAGAUGAAGAUCCGGGGAGAGCUUGAGGUGGAUAUAGAGAGAGACUUGGAGGAAGAGAUCAAAGAUGGUAUAUACCAUCUUGCUCUUCGACUGCACCGCCUUUACCAGCACCAGAAGGAAAGAAAUGCCAGAGAAUUUCUACUACAUGAUGAAUCGGGAGAAAAGGGGAAAAUACUUUCUGAGGUUAACAUAAUUAUUAGAAUGGAUGGAGGAACCAAAAUCGAAAUCAAAGAGACGAAGAAGGAAGCUCCAGAAAGGAGUAGAACUCGGGCUUCUGCAGCACAAGUUACCCGAGGAAUGCCGCUGCCUGCUGACACCAAGAAAUUUGAUUGGGCCAAGUCUCUCAGGCAGACGGGAGCUAGUCCUAGGAUUGCUACGAAUAAGAAAAUCAGUAACAGCUCAUAUCAGGCUAGAAUGUCUUAUGAUCGUAACCUCAAACUUGAGAAUGCCAAGAGAAAUAAGGGGAAUGGAAGUGGAGACCACAAUUUACUUCAACUUGGAUGGAGAAUCUGAGUUGAUCAUUUGGGUUAGUGGCAUGAAAAUAAUGCGUCUACUGAUUGUGCUAUGUGACCAUAAUAAGCCAUCGUUAGCAUAUGCUGUCAUGUGAGAGUGUUGUAUGAAAUGCUUUGUUAAUAAAAGUGUGAAACAAUCUGGAAAAUAAGUUCAAAUUUGGAGUAUUUUUUAUUUUUUAUAAAAUUUAAAAAAAUUAAUUUAAUGAAAUUUAAAUUUGAUAUUUGUUUCUACAUAACGGAUGAGCCAUAGAAAACUAGGUGAAGGGAAAGGGGUGUAGUGGCAAGCUUGAGUUCAUUAUGGGCCGGGCUAAUGCUUGAGCAUACUUUGAGCCCAUUGUCUGUUAGCUACAUGAACCGUAAUUGCAGCCAAAGCUCGACCCACAGUAUAUGAGUAGUUUCACUUGCAUUCCUCUCUUGUUAGGCCCAGUGAGGACAGUAGACCAAUUCCCUUGUUUUAAAACUACCGACACGUGACAUUCGGCUAUAGGGUGUUACUACAGGAUACGAGCCAGAGGAUGCCUGUAUCGAAAGUUGAACAGUGAGAACGGCCCAACAGCGAAAAUGGACUAAUUUAAAAAGCCUAGAGACAAUAGAAUGGUCCCAUUUGGGGCGGCUACAUAAAACAUGAUGAUUGACUUUAUAUCAUUUGGAAGGCGCCAGAAAGCAACACUUCGAUAAUGUUGGUUGAUUGAAUACAGUUCAUGAUUCUCCCUUCGUCAAUCGAAGUUAAUCCAUUAUGCCGUUGAGAAAUGAAAUUAUAAGGUAGAGGGUGGAAUAUAUACAUAUAUAGGACGAGGAAUGAGUGGGUGAAUAAAGGGUAUAGCUGAGGAGUUUUAAUGACCAAGACAAAGACCAUGUUCCAAUAGAAUGAGGAAGUGGAGACAGUGGAGUCCCACAGCAAUAAAAUUGGAAUCACAUGAAAAGCUCAUCUGGGGUUGUCUGGACUUUGGAUUGAGUAGGGACAGGCAAUCCAAUGGUCAAUUCUAAAUUAACCAUUGGCGAGCCAUUGAAUCGUCCGACUGCUUCAACUGUCAAAAAGGUGUUCGGACCUUUUCUUUCCAAUGGCAAAGUUGGCUUUCAAAAAAGUCGAUAAUCCAAACGAAUCUUUGGAGGCCCCCCUCUUUGGCUUCUCCUGCAAUAUCUUAUAUAAUGUAUUCCUUCAUUCCUCUCACUAGGACUCAGAUCAGCUCACACAUAUAUAUAUAGCCAGCUACAUACAAUAAUAGUAAUACAUAUUUAUUGUUCUUGUAGCCAUCACCUUUAUUAAUACAACAGCUAAACCAUCAAUUUUUGUUAGUUUUUAUUCAUCGUUAUCUUCUUCAACAUACUGUUUCUAGAACCUUUUACAGCAAGAAGACCACAAAGUUGGGGGCACAGUCGUUUGCGACCAUCUUUUAUAUGUAAGGAUAAAAUUGUAAUGGUUUGAAUCAAAGAGUUUGGGUACAUAUUUUGGAUACUUACAAGUUUACAUGUUCCUCCAAAAAUACCUCAGUCUGACCCAUGCUUCAUGAUGACGGGACAGCAAUGAUCUUCUGUGUCUCACUUGUCUUCUAGGCGUUGAAGUUGAGCUUCAUUUUUUGCUAAUAUUUUUGUAGAAUCUUACUUCAACUUAAUUAAUUAUUGGUUCCGACAUGUUUCUCGGGAUGAUAAUACAGGCUCAACACAAGGACAGUUUCUUCAAAUUAGAGUAUUGCAGUCUUUGAACAAGCGAUGACAUCAUUGUCAGAUUCCGCCAGGUGGUUCCAGUUCCACCAAUGGACGGGCUAUGGCCUUAUUUUCCUAGGUUCUAUAUAUAUAUAUAGGGAACACAUAGAAGUCCAUUCGGGGUUCAUCACACAAGAAUCCAAUGGUAAUAGGAUCUCAACACAGCUGAGAGAAGGUUCACUGAAAAAACUCACAACAAAUAACAUUUUUGUCAUGAAUUUGUUUCUCGCAGUGAUGGACGAAUCACCCUUUUUCCAACUUUAAUGAAAAAUAAGGCUCACUGAGGCCAUUAUAAUUUAAUCUUAACUACAUACAACAUUGAUUUUGCUUCUGUUUUCUCUCCCAUUCUCCAGGUUGUAGAGGUUUUUCUCUUUUUCCAAACAAGCAAGCUGAAUCCUUUAUAGCGUCAGGACAUCACACACAUGAUACGCGUUGUUUAAUUUACACACAUGCAGCUGCUACUUUCAUUUAAAUGUUGGUUAUUAGAUCUCUUAACUUUGUAUCCAUCAGCUACCUACUAACUCAGUCGUGUUCCUUCUGAUCGGGCAACUCAUGCAUGCAUCAGCAUCAGAAUCGUAAUAAUGUUGAUGUGUCAUCCUUGUCCCAGGAUUUGCACAUUUGAUUUGUAGUUUGCCUUUUUAUGUGUUCUUGUUCUUAUUUUAGAAAUAAGGUUUUUUUUUUUCCUUAAAAUUGUUUAGCUAAAAUAGGCAAUACACUUCCUUUAGAAUUUUUAGUUAUUAAGAAACACUCACAGGCGGUUUAGACAAAAAAGAAGUGACAAAUCUAGCAUGGUUUAGAAUUGGUGACAGGUUAGGAUGGAUCACUUUCCUCAAUACGAUGUUAAAACUUGAAGGUGACCCAUCAAAAGGAAAGACUAGCAAUUUCCAUUAUUGAGCUUCAUGUGGUCAGCUAGAUGAAGGGGCAAUUUCAAUUAUGCUGGUUAUAAAUCAGAAGCAGCCUAUUUCCAUAAAAUUGAUGAUAAGAUUCAAUUACGGGAAUCCAUUCAUUGACUGUAUGCUGUUGGGGACGAUCAAGUAGAAAAAAUAUGCAUGGGCUUGGUGGGUCGACCAACGAGUUAAGGCAAAGCAUGGGAGAAAUGAAGCAAAGGUUACGUCAUGGGAGACAGUGGAAUGGCAAAACAGAUGAUUUUUCCUGGAAAACGCCUCCAGAUUGACUAUCAUCCUGAUCUACAGAGUUCCCGUUGCGGUGUUGGCUGUAACUCACUCAUAAUUAAACUAGGACAGAUGACCCCAGAUGAACGUGAAACGUACGAGCUUAUGGCGACCUUGACUAUAAACUAUGGAGAUUUAAGGGAUCUAGACUUUAAUACGAGUCAAUAUUAGAUCUCAAAACAAUUAAAUGCAAUCCGUGCAAGUGGUUGGGUUAUGGGCACUUAGUCUCCAAAUGUGGAAAACUUAACUGAAAGUGCAUUGCCUAUGUCAUAAAAACCUCAACUGCGAACGCAAGUAACUGAAUUCACACAUAGUGAUGAAUCAUCUGUUUGAGAUAAUUACAAUGAUGAUGAAAGAGAUGAAAUCACUGUGAAAUAAAAAAUAGCAUUCGUUGUAGUUGAAUCCAAGUUCAUUCCCACUUUUUCUUUUCUUCCUGGCUAGCCAAGACUUGAAAAGAAGGUAGUUUAUCAAGGAGGGUUAUCCAGCAUGUCCACCACAAAAGUCGAUAACAUGAAAACAAGAACAAGUAGGUGUUCAGAUGUGUACAAAUUAAGAGAAUGGUAGAAGUGCAAUGUAUGAAACUUUGAGACUCCAAGUAGGAGAUCCAAAAAGAGACUAAUUUGAGAAGAAAACCGCCUUACCUAGUGCAUAAUAUUUCACAAAUCGUCUUUCAAUUACUCUCAGACUGAAAUCCCACAGUUGGGAUUUCUUUAAAUGACCAAAAGAUAAAAUAGAGACAGUGGAUCAAUUUGGAUAUAUAGGUAGAAGAGGAAUUGGAUGAUUACAACUGUUUGAUCUGGCUUAUCUUUGACCAAGAUGCCCAUGUAGGUGGACCACAUUUCCAGUGUGCAGCUUUAACUGCUACUGGGCUCGCCCGGAACAAGCAAAGCAUCUUGAAGGGUAUGUCUUGUAGGCAAGCCUGGAGUCCAGGAAAAGCAAAAUCGUCAACAAAAGUGUAUGUUGCCAGUAUACUUGAAACAUCAAAUCUCAUAUAUAGAACUAGUGAAAGGAAACCAAAAUAAGCACACCUCUCUUAAUCUUACCCUAACCGAACAAACCAGACCCCCUGCUGUAUCAAGUUGAACCAUGAAUCCUUAAUUACUAACUAAUAGCAGUUUACAAACGGCUGCUUUUGCCUGUAGGAGGAGAAUUGGAGAGAAAUGAUUGUAGAAGAGAAGGAAGAAGAAGAUCAGUGAAAAGAGAUUCUUGGGAUCUUAAUGGAAUCCGUGCAACAAAGCUGAAUCUCAAGUGAGGCCAGGUAGUAGUUGAAAUUUUGCAGACAAAAGCAGCGUGUACCUCUAGUGUAUAUAUAAAGAUUUUUCUUGAUGGAUGAGUGCCCACAUGUUUCCCUUGGAACAUGUAGGGAAAAAGAAAAGGAAAAAAAGAAGAGAGAUUGAAUUUAAGGGCAAGCUUUGGAUCUAUCGACUUUGGGAAACAUGGACUCAACCCACGUUUGGAUUGGAGCUUCCAUGAGACCAUACUACUGUUGCAGAUACAUUCUCUUUCCCAAGAGAAAAUAAAACAAAUAAAAUAGUAUAAAAUAAUGUGAAAACAAUUUGGUACAGCUCUUUCCUUCCCAAGGUACCCCCUAUCAAUGAUCAGACAUCUGGGUUCUACCUUUUCAAUCAUAUGGCCAUGUUGAAGUAAUAUAAGGUAUAUUAUUUUUCUAUAAUUUUUUAAUGGAAAACCUGUAACUCUCAUAAUUUUGAAACAACUAACAAAUGUUAGAAAGAAAAAAGAAAAGAUCGGAAACUGCACUUGAACUGCAAAAGUAAAUGGAGAGCAAGGAAAAACAAAGACAUUGCAACAGAAAUAAGGCAGAGAAGGGGGGCUCUUCCAUUCAUCCUUGUUUUGUUUGUUUGGUGCAACAUUUAAUGUGGAAAGUACCUCUACCAAAAGAGAUAAAAGAGAAAAGAAAAGAAGAGAAGAAGAAAUGCAGGCAAGCAAAGGCUCUGAGAGCUAGCACGCGAGUAAAAAGCACACACUCUUAACACAGACAGCGCGCAUCCACAUUGAAUGGAGGACGAGGGAUCUGUGUUGAAAUUUUGAAAAGAAAGCGAGAAAAAGAGGGAGUGCACUCAUUCAAUGCCAUCCAUAAUGCUUCAAACAUGAACCUCCAACUCCCUCUUGAAGAAAAUCACAAGCACACGCACGCGUAGAAAGAGAUAAUGUGAAUGGAAAAUGCAGGUUCUCACACGUCUGUUCCAAAGUUUAUAAGAUGACACAAAUUUACAAAUGAAGGCUGAAAUUGAACAAGGUGAAGGAAAAAUGCUUGGGUUUCAAGCAUAUCCUCACACCUAGCUCCAACCAGUUAUGACACAGAAAACCUUAAGACCCCCAUUCACCAUCUUUCCACUCAUGUUACUCACUAGGUACUGCUAUAAAGAAACAUCUACUGAAACCAAGUAAAGAUUUUCCAUGCACGAAAAGAGAACAACACAUCAACAAUAACCUACUCUAGAUUUUGGAACAAGUGGACAUAUCAUAUCCAUCCAAACACCAGCACGACAGAAGUGGAAAACCAAGAAGAUAACAAGAGAAGGAAAGAGAGAUAAAAACCCUAAAAAGGAGAAAAAAGGAAAGAAAGAGAAAAACUAAAUUCCCGAGAAAGUAGAGUGCUCAGCAACAACAACAUUUCCCACUUGCAACUUUGUAACCGGUCGGGAUGAACUUCCAUUGUUACACUCACUGCGCAGUAGGAUGAUAUAGGUAGAUACAAUAGAUAUAGAGGAUUCUAGGGUUUCUUACCCAGGGUGUGCUUGUUGUUGUGCAUCCAAACCUUGAGCACAUGACGUUUCACGCCCGUCUCGCUACAGAACUGCUGCACCACUGCCUCGUCAUGCUUCUGAAUCCUC
rnacentral:lncRNA from 1 species